rnacentral:lncRNA from 1 species
GGGCGGCGGGAGCGACGGCACGCUGGACGUGUGCGCGCGCGUCUGCGUCGUCGACGAGCACGAGGCCGUCCUCUACGAGAGCUUCGUGAAGCCCCUCAUCCCGGUGACGCACUACCGGUACGAGACCACCGGCAUCCGCCCCGAGCACCUCCGCGACGCGCCCACGGUGAAGCAGACCAUGGCGCGGGUGCAGGACAUCCUCCUCAACGGCGACCGGUCCUACUCCUACUCCUCCUCCUCCCGCGGCGCCGCCCGGCUCCUCGUCGGCCACGGGCUGGAGCACGACCUCGACGCGCUCGGCAUGGACUGCCCGGCGCACUUCAAGCGGGACACGGCCACGUACCCGCCGCUGAUGAAGACCAGCGCCAGGAUCAUGAGCAACUCGCUGCGGUAUCUCACACGGAGCUGCCUGGGGUAUGACAUACAGACCGGCGGCCACCAUCACCCCUACGACGACUGCGUGGCCGCCAUGAGGCUCUACAAGAGGAUGCGCGCCAUGAGGCACCUGCACCUGCACGGCCGGCCCAAGGACGGUCACGAUGAUGAGUCCACGGCCAAGGCCUUCCCGGCGUGGAGGCAGCGAGAGCUGGAGCGCAUGUCGCCGGAGGAGCUCCUCGGGAUGUCCAAGCCCGACUACCAGUGUUGGUGCCUCGACGAUGACCGGCAAUAAUACUGUCGAGAGCCGGAAUUCGAAUCUUGGUUGGCGGUUUAAUUUACUUGGUCGUGACGAUGGAAAGAUACGAGAAAAUAAAAUCCACGUACCUCGGAUGGAUAGCUGCCGUACCUAGCGACGACGUGGUGGUCGAAUAAAUCACAGUUUUGUUUCGUUGGAACUAAGAACCACGUCGUUUUUCAUUGGUUAGGACCGAUUUUACUGCCGGGUGACCUAGGCUGAACCAGGCGCGUUGGGUCGUCUGGAGCGCCGGGGUAAAUGUUUUUGGCGGGAACCUGUCGAGUCAGCGACUAGACACGUUCGUCGUUCUCAUCGUCUCGUUUUUCAGCGGGGAAUCAAUGCGAAGGUUUUUGCCCAUCAUCCUUUCAUUGAUUCCUCACGGACGACGUAGUGAAGGCGUCGACACGCGUCCUGCCCCCUCCCGCCACAUGUACACACGGCUGUCGUCCGCUCGCUGCCCACCCGCGGCUAUAUAAGUCAUCUCUCCCUCAUCAGUGGCCACACACCUCUUGCCCCCCUUCUCCCUCUCUUGCCGUCGACGCCCCUCUUCCCCUUUCGUCGUCGACGCCCCCUCUCUCCACCACCAUGGCCAAGCGCUAACCCGGCGACGGAGCGACGACAAAUGGCUUCAGCCGCCGCCACCUCUAUGAGGUGGACUACCCGGUGCCAAUGAACAUGCGGGUGUCGGGCUCGUGAAGGCUGAGCGCCGGUGGAGUUCCGGUGUCACCACCGCCCUGUGGAGCUGACCGGCGCGCGGAGAUCGCACGCAUCCGGUCAUCGCUGUCGGAGAGCUCGCGGAACCAGCCGAGGUAUUGCCCCCGACAGCAACACGUUGUGGAUGACGUACUUCGAACGCCGCCACACCGAACCACUUGCCGCCACCAACGGCGCCGAAUCCCGCGGCCGCUUCAACACCGAGGGGCGACACCUUAUGGUGGGGCGUCCCUGGCCGCACACUGGACGCCGUCCUCGAGCACAUCGAGGACGGCACCUCACCGCGGUUGGAGUACCCGGUGCCCCCCUCCUUCUCUCGCCGCUGCGACAGCUCAUGGACGCCGAGGCGCAUGGAGACGGCAUCCUCCUCCUCGUCCGGCUCCCGCUCCCGCUCCUCCGGGUCGCCGACACUCCUCCCCAUCAAGCCGGAGCCACGGGAGAUGCCGCUCGGGGCGGCGCACGCAUAGCGGCGACCUCGUCAUUAACUAGGCCUCCUUCUCCCGCCUCGUCAAGCCGAAGGCCGAGCCAAGCGCUCCUCCCAGUGAAGAAGUAGCACGAGGCCAGGGCCGCCGACCAGGAGACUGCACUCAAAUGGGUGCAGGACGGCUAUGUUCGGGAGGAGAUGGAGCACCAGCGCCGCGCCCUCGAAAAGGCGUCUAGGGCGGCCUUGGGGGGGGGCGGCAAGGAACCCGUGCCCCCCCCACACACACGCCAAUUUUGUCGCUGGCGCGCCUCCAGGCGGCGCUAUUUCAUCCCCUGGGGUGCCAAAAGACUGGAGACGCUCUAAGUUACCUGAAUUUGCUUUCAACAAAAAAGUUACCUGAAUUUCAAAGAUGUGGGUCAUUUGAUUUUGUUUCAAAGGAGUCAAUUGCAAAAAACCACCAUAUUUGUGGCUAGGUUUGCAAGAAACUACCAACUCGUUAAUCCGUUGCAGAAAACACUGAAAAAACUCUUAAGACGUUGCAAAAAGCACUAAUCAGCCGUUUAGGCUCGUUUGGCCCCUUUUCUGACAGGUGGGCCCGGAAAACGCCGACGUGGCAUAACGGCUGGACAGACGACGUCAUUUGGAUUAAUUGCAAGAAACCACUACAUUUGCGGCUAGGUUUGUAGAAAACAACCAACUCGUUAAUCGGUUGCAAAAAAACCGCGUUAGCAGUAAAGUCCUCGAGGGAACAGCCGCCGCAGUCCGGGCAGGCCACGUCGGCCCGUCUGGCGUUGACGCGGCCGUGGUUGCAUCACAUCUCCUCUAUGGAUCCCUUUGCUAUUGAGCUCAACGACGGAUUUGAGUCGGUGGGACGGCGGUGACGGGUGCGAGUGGGUAUGGCGUGGUCGGGUGCAAGGGCGGCGGUUGCAUCGGGAGCAGGGGACCGGGAGCAGGGGUGAUCGCUUUUUUAUUUUUAGAGGGAUGUGUGUAUGUAUUUUUUGCUAAGUCACCUACUUACAAUCUGGCCCCACUUGUCAAAAAGUGAUUAAACUCGCUAAAUCAUCCUAUUAGUGCUUUUUGCAACAAGUUUACUACUAGGAUGAUGUCUUUUUGUAACGGAUAAAAAGUUGAUGGUUUUCUGCAAACCUAACCACAAAUAUGCUAGUUUCUUGCAAUUAAAGCGGGGACGUUUGUCCAGCCAGCAUGCCAUGUUGGCGUUUUACGACCCCACUUGUCGGAGAAAAGGUCAAACGAGCCUAAACAGCUGAUUAGUGUUUUUUGCAACUACUUAAGAGAUUUUUUUUAUGUUCUCCGCAAUGGGUUAACAAGUUGGUAGUUUCCUGCAAACCUAGCCACAAAUAUGGUUACUUUUUGCAAUUGACUCGUUUGAAAGGCUGUGAUGGAGGCACCCAAGCUGCCGCCGCCGCCUAAGCGAGCGAAGCGAGGCAUGGGAGGAAAGAGGCGUAGCUGCGGCAAGCCGACAAUGGCGGGUUAGAAGAUUAUAACGGGUUUGGGUAUAGGGCUGCCCGCAUCAAAACUAAAUGUUGAUGGGUCUUGAAGGGAAGACCCUGGGAUGAUCAAAUCCUACAUGGAUACAACGUAAAGACUUUGGGCGAUCAAAUUCAACAUGGAUUCAACCCUGCCACAGGGUCUAACUAGCACCACGUGGCGAGCCGGUAGCCCACCACAUGUCGUCGAGGCAGCAACCACUCUAUCCAAAUGUCGGUGCAACAGACAUACACGAGCAAGACUCGACCAUCCAGAUCCGGCCAGGGAGAAAUCUCCAAGGCCUCCUGCCACCCAAACCCUAGAUCCCACCCAGCACUUGUCACCGAAGCCAAGCACGCCAUCACCUCAAGUUAUCGGCCACCCAACUCUGAGCCAACGGUUGCCCCGCAUGCCGUGACAUCGUGGCAGCUACGCCCGCUAAUCUCACCCGAAGCAUGUCGAGGGUGGGGGGCGUGCGAGGCGGCCGCGGAGACGCGGUGGCUCUGGGGUGCAAGAUGGUGGGCGGCGGGAGCGACGGCACGCUGGACGUGUGCGCGCGCGUCUGCGUCGUCGACGAGCACGAGGCCGUCCUCUACGAGAGCUUCGUGAAGCCCCUCAUCGCGGUGACGCACUACCGGUACGAGACCACCGGCAUCCGCCCCGAGCACCUCCGCGACGCGCCCACGGUGAAGCAGACCAUGACGCGGGUGCAGGACAUCCUCCUCAACGGCGACCGGUCCUACUCCUACUCUCCCUCCCGCGGCGCCGCCCGGCUCCUCGUCGGCCACGGGCUGGAGCACGACCUCGACGCGCU